rnacentral:tRNA from 1 species
GGGGCCGUAGUCUAGCCUGGAUAAGGCGCCAGCCUGCGGAGUUGGUAGUCCCCGGUUCGAAUCCGGGCGGUCCCGCCA